rnacentral:rRNA from 1 species
ACACCUAUCAGGUAGUUGGCGGGGUAAUGGCCCACCAAGCCGAAGACGGGUAGCCGGUAUGAGAGUACGGCCGGCCACAUCGGGACUGAGACACUGCCCGGACUCCUACGGGAGGCUGCAGUAACGAAUAUUCCACAAUGCACGAAAGUGUGAUGGAGCAAUGCCGCGUGCGGGAUGAAGCGCCUUUGGCGUGUAAACCGCUGUCAGGGGAUCGAAACACUGAUCAUCCCCAGAGGAAGUGGCGACUAACUCUGUG